rnacentral:rRNA from 1 species
AUGGAUCCCGCUGUUGGUGACGCUCACACAGUGGCUCCUCCCACUGCUGUUAUGAAGUUGGUUGGAUGGAAUUGCAGGGGAAAGGGCAGAAGUCUUGGCAACUCUAGAAAAAUGGAGUAUCUGGCUAGAUUGAUGUAUUCCACUGGUGCUAAGGAUUUUACCUAUUAUAUUCCAAACAAACAUGAACUAUGGGAAAUAUUGGAGGACAUGAGAAAGAAUGCAUCACCAGGACCUGAUGGAUUUAAUGUUGGCUUUUACACAUUGGCAUGGGAAUGGAUUGGUGAUGAUGUCACUAAUCUGGUAAGACACUUCUAA